UGGGGAAUAUUGGGCAAUGGGCGCAAGCCUGACCCAGCGACGCCGCGUGGGUGAUGAAGGCCUUCGGGUCGUAAAGCCCUGUCGGGUGGAAAGAAAGGUCUUUAGGCAAAUAGUCUAGAGACGUGACGGUACCACCGAAGGAAGCACCGGCCAAUUCCGUGCCAGCAGCCGCGGUAAGACGGAAGGUGCAAGCGUUGCUCGGAAUCACUGGGCGUAAAGGGUGCGUAGGCGGCCUGGUAAGUCUGGCGUGAAAGCCCAGGGCUCAGCCCUGGAAGUGCGCUAGAAACUGCGAGGCUGGAGUGCCGGAGGGGAGAGUGGAAUUCCUGGUGUAGCGGUGAAAUGCGUAGAUAUCAGGAGGAAUACCGGUGGCGAAAGCGACUCUCUGGACGGCAACUGACGCUGAGGCACGAAAGCGUGGGGAGCAAACAG
rnacentral:rRNA from 1 species